AAGCGGAGGAGCAUGUGGUUUAAUUCGAUGAUACGCGAGGAACCGUUACCUGGGCUCGAACGUGAGAUGACUGUAGGUGAAAGCUUACAUCUCUUCGGAGCAUUUUACGAGGUGCUGCAUGGUUGUCGUCAGCUCGUGCCGUGAGGUGUCGGGUUAAGUCCCAUAACGAGCGCAACCCCUACCUUUAGUUGCCAUCAGGUUAAGCUGGGGACUCUAAAGGAACUGCCUACGCAAGUAGUGAGGAAGGCGGGGAUGACGUCAAAUCAGCACGGCCCUUACGUCCAGGGCUACACACGUGCUACAAUGGCCGAUACAGAGGGCAGCUACCUGGUGACAGGAUGCAAAUCUCCAAAGUCGGUCUCAGUUCGGAUCGGAGUCUGCAACCCGACUCCGUGAAGUUGGAUUCGCUAGUAAUCGCGCAUCAGCCAUGGCGCGGUGAAUACGUUCCCGGGCCUU
rnacentral:rRNA from 1 species